UACAGAGGUCUCAAGCGUUGUUUGGAUUCAUUGGGCGUAAAGGGUGUGUAGGUGGCGCCGUAAGUCGGGUGUGAAAUUUCGGAGCUUAACUCCGAAACUGCAUUCGAUACUGCGGUGCUUGAGGACUGGAGAGGAGACUGGAAUUCAUGGUGUAGCAGUGAAAUGCGUAGAGAUCAUGAGGAAGACCAGUGGCGAAGGCGGGUCUCUGGACAGUUCCUGACACUGAGACACGAAGGCCAGGGGAGCAAACGGG
rnacentral:rRNA from 1 species